rnacentral:rRNA from 1 species
UACAGAGGGUGCAAGCGUUGUUCGGAAUUAUUGGGCGUAAAGCGCACGUAGGCGGCUCUGCAAGUCCCAUGUGAAAGCCCCACGGCUCAACCGUGGAAGUGCAUGGGAAACUGCAAAGCUUGAGUACUUAAGAGGAUCGCGGAAUUCCCGGUGUAGAGGUGAAAUUCGUAGAUAUCGGGAGGAACACCAGUGGCGAAGGCGGCGAUCUGGGAAGAUACUGACGCUGAGGUGCGAAAGCGUGGGGAGCAAACAGG